rnacentral:rRNA from 1 species
UUAAGCGACUAAGCGUACACGGUGGAUGCCCUGGCAGUCAGAGGCGAUGAAGGACGUGCUAAUCUGCGAAAAGCGUCGGUAAGGUGAUAUGAACCGUUACAGCCGGCGAUGUCCGAAUGGGGAAACCCAGUGUGAUUCGUCACACUAUCGUUAACUGAAUACAUAGGUUAACGAGGCGAACCGGGGGAACUGAAACAUCUAAGUACCCCGAGGAAAAGAAAUCAACCGAGAUUCCCCCAGUAGCGGCGAGCGAACGGGGAGCAGCCCAGAGUCUGAAUCAGCUUGUGUGUUAGUGGAACGGUCUGGAAAGUCCGACGGUACAGGGUGAUAGUCCCGUACACCAAAAUGCACAGGCUGUGAACUCGAAGAGUAGGGCGGGACACGUGGUAUCCUGUCUGAAUAUGGGGGGACCAUCCUCCAAGGCUAAAUACUCCUGACUGACCGAUAGUGAACCAGUACCGUGAGGGAAAGGCGAAAAGAACCCCGGCGAGGGGAGUGAAAAAGAACCUGAAACCGUGUACGUACAAGCAGUGGGAGCACCUUCGGGUGUGACUGCGUACCUUUUGUAUAAUGGGUCAGCGACUUAUAUUCUGUAGCAAGGUUAACCGUAUAGGGGAGCCGCAGGGAAACCGAGUCUUAACUGGGCGUUAAGUUGCAGGGUAUAGACCCGAAACCCGGUGAUCUAGCCAUGGGCAGGUUGAAGGUUGGGUAACACUAACUGGAGGACCGAACCGACUAAUGUUGAAAAAUUAGCGGAUGACUUGUGGCUGGGGGUGAAAGGCCAAUCAAACCGGGAGAUAGCUGGUUCUCCCCGAAAGCUAUUUAGGUAGCGCCUCGUGAACUCAUCUUCGGGGGUAGAGCACUGUUUCGGCUAGGGGGUCAUCCCGACUUACCAACCCGAUGCAAACUACGAAUACCGAAGAAUGUUAUCACGGGAGACACACGGCGGGUGCUAACGUCCGUCGUGAAGAGGGAAACAACCCAGACCGCCAGCUAAGGUCCCAAAGUCAUGGUUAAGUGGGAAACGAUGUGGGAAGGCACAGACAGCCAGGAUGUUGGCUUAGAAGCAGCCAUCAUUUAAAGAAAGCGUAAUAGCUCACUGGUCGAGUCGGCCUGCGCGGAAGAUGUAACGGGGCUAAACCAUGCACCGAAGCUGCGGCAGCGACACUAUGUGUUGUUGGGUAGGGGAGCGUUCUGUAAGCCUGCGAAGGUGUGCUGUGAGGCAUGCUGGAGGUAUCAGAAGUGCGAAUGCUGACAUAAGUAACGAUAAAGCGGGUGAAAAGCCCGCUCGCCGGAAGACCAAGGGUUCCUGUCCAACGUUAAUCGGGGCAGGGUGAGUCGACCCCUAAGGCGAGGCCGAAAGGCGUAGUCGAUGGGAAACAGGUUAAUAUUCCUGUACUUGGUGUUACUGCGAAGGGGGGACGGAGAAGGCUAUGUUAGCCGGGCGACGGUUGUCCCGGUUUAAGCAUGUAGGCUGGUUAUCCAGGCAAAUCCGGAUAAUCAAGGCUGAGGUGUGAUGACGAGGCACUACGGUGCUGAAGUAACAAAUGCCCUGCUUCCAGGAAAAGCCUCUAAGCAUCAGGUAACAUCAAAUCGUACCCCAAACCGACACAGGUGGUCAGGUAGAGAAUACCAAGGCGCUUGAGAGAACUCGGGUGAAGGAACUAGGCAAAAUGGUGCCGUAACUUCGGGAGAAGGCACGCUGGUGUGUAGGUGAAGUCCCUGCGGAUGGAGCUGAGACCAGUCGAAGAUACCAGCUGGCUGCAACUGUUUAUUAAAAACACAGCACUGUGCAAACACGAAAGUGGACGUAUACGGUGUGACGCCUGCCCGGUGCCGGAAGGUUAAUUGAUGGGGUUAUCCGUAAGGAGAAGCUCUUGAUCGAAGCCCCGGUAAACGGCGGCCGUAACUAUAACGGUCCUAAGGUAGCGAAAUUCCUUGUCGGGUAAGUUCCGACCUGCACGAAUGGCGUAAUGAUGGCCAGGCUGUCUCCACCCGAGACUCAGUGAAAUUGAACUCGCUGUGAAGAUGCAGUGUACCCGCGGCAAGACGGAAAGACCCCGUGAACCUUUACUAUAGCUUGACACUGAACAUUGAGCCUUGAUGUGUAGGAUAGGUGGGAGGCUUUGAAGCGUGGACGCCAGUCUGCGUGGAGCCAACCUUGAAAUACCACCCUUUAAUGUUUGAUGUUCUAACGUUGGCCCCUUACCGGGGUUGCGGACAGUGUCUGGUGGGUAGUUUGACUGGGGCGGUCUCCUCCCAAAGCGUAACGGAGGAGCACGAAGGUUAGCUAAUCCUGGUCGGACAUCAGGAGGUUAGUGCAAUGGCAUAAGCUAGCUUGACUGCGAGCGUGACGGCGCGAGCAGGUGCGAAAGCAGGUCAUAGUGAUCCGGUGGUUCUGAAUGGAAGGGCCAUCGCUCAACGGAUAAAAGGUACUCCGGGGAUAACAGGCUGAUACCGCCCAAGAGUUCAUAUCGACGGCGGUGUUUGGCACCUCGAUGUCGGCUCAUCACAUCCUGGGGCUGAAGUAGGUCCCAAGGGUAUGGCUGUUCGCCAUUUAAAGUGGUACGCGAGCUGGGUUUAGAACGUCGUGAGACAGUUCGGUCCCUAUCUGCCGUGGGCGCUGGAGAAUUGAGGGGGGCUGCUCCUAGUACGAGAGGACCGGAGUGGACGCAUCACUGGUGUUCGGGUUGUCAUGCCAAUGGCACUGCCCGGUAGCUAAAUGCGGAAGAGAUAAGUGCUGAAAGCAUCUAAGCACGAAACUUGCCCCGAGAUGAGUUCUCCCUGAGACUUUAAGUCUCCUGAAGGAACGUUAAAGACGAUGACGUUGAUAGGCCGGGUGUGUAAGCGCAGCGAUGCGUUGAGCUAACCGGUACUAAUGAACCGUGAGGCUUAACCUU